rnacentral:rRNA from 1 species
UUAGGAAUUUUGCGCAAUGGCCGCAAGGCUGACGCAGCAACGCCGCGUGGGUGAGGAAGGCCUUCGGGUUGUAAAGCCCUUUUCCCAGGGAAGAAACAAAUGACGGUACCUGGGGAAGAAGCCCCGGCUAACUACGUGCCAGCAGCCGCGGUAAUACGUAGGGGGCGAGCGUUGUCCGGAUUUAUUGGGCGUAAAGGGCGUGUAGGCGGCUGGGUAAGGGUGGGGUGAAAUCUCCCGGCUCAACUGGGAGGGGACCUUGCCGACUGCCUGGCUUGAGGCUGGUAGGGGCACAUGGAAUUCCCGGUGUAGUGGUGAAAUGCGUAGAGAUCGGGAGGAACACCGGUGGCGAAGGCGGUGUGCUGGGCCAAGCCUGACGCUGAGGCGCGAAAGCGUGGGGAGCGAACUGGAUUAGAUACCCCCGUAGUCC